rnacentral:rRNA from 1 species
UACAGAGGUUCCAAGCGUUAUUCGGAUUCACUGGGCGUAAAGGGUGCGCAGGCGGUUGGGUGUGUCAGAUGUGAAAUCCCGAGGCUUAACCUCGGAACUGCGUCUGAAACUACUCGACUAGAGUACUGGAGAGGGAAACGGAAUUCACGGUGUAGCAGUGAAAUGCGUAGAUAUCGUGAGGAACACCAGAGGCGAAGGCGGUUUCCUGGACAGUUACUGACGCUCAGGCACGAAAGCAUGGGGAGCAAAAGGG